UAAGGAAAUCAUCUUAGGAGCUCCAAAAGUUUUUUUAUAAAUACCAUCCACUCACUAUAAGCUGAGAACCAACAAGCAGUCAACAUCAGAGUGAGAAUUAUUAGCUUAUAAGUAUUGUUGGAGAUUUAGAAUGGCUAAGAUUUCUUACACCUCCUUCGUCAUCCUUGCUAUCCUUGUCUUCUCAGCUGCAUCAUCAAUGGUGAUGAAAGUAGAUGCACAACGGAAGGGGCACUGCCAGGCAAUGUUGUAUCCCGAUAACUGCGUGCCAGCAGCUUGUAACAAUCAGUGCGUCCAAAAGUUUAAAAGUGGAGAUGGAGAGUGUAUAGGGAUAAGUGUUGGACGUGAUGUACAUUACGGAUGUUCAUGUGUGUACCCAUGCUAGAAUCCAACCAAGUCUUUCUCUACACGUAUGAUGGUGGUCUAUUCAUCAUAUGACCAUUAAAAGUCAUGCAUACAUGCAUAUCAAUAAAUAAAUUAUUAUUGGGUUC